AAAACUUUCAACAACGGAUCUCUUGGCUCUAGCAUCGAUGAAGAACGCAGCGAAACGCGAUAAGUAGUGUGAAUUGCAGAAUUCAGUGAAUCAUCGAAUCUUUGAACGCACAUGGCGCCCCCCGGCAUCCCGGGGGGCAUGCCUGUCCGAGCGUCGUUU
rnacentral:rRNA from 1 species